rnacentral:rRNA from 1 species
AGCAGCCGCGGUAAUUCCAGCUCCAAUAGCGUAUAUUAAAGUUGUUGCAGUUAAAAAGCUCGUAGUUGAAUUUCGGAGUUCUUCCGUUGGUCAGGCUAACAAGUCUGUACUAGCGUGUAGAAUUCCUACCUUCUGGGGAACCAUCAUGUUAUUUAUUUAGCGUGGUGGGAAACCAGGACCUUUACCUUGAAAAAAUUAGAGUGUUCAAAGCAGGCUUACGUCUGAAUACAUUAGCAUGGAAUAAUAAAAUAGGACGGUGGUCCUGUUUUGUUGGUUUCUGAAUCACCGUAAUGAUUAAUAGGGAUAGUUGGGGGCAUUAGUAUUCAAUUGUCAGAGGUGAAAUUCUUGGAUUUAUUGAAGACUAACUUCUGCGAAAGCAUUUGCCAAGGAUGUUUUCAUUAAUCAAGAACGAAAGUUAGGGGAUCGAAGACGAUCAGAUACCGUCGUAGUCUUAACCAUAAACUAUGCCGACUAGGGAUCGGACGAUGUUAAAUUUUAUUGACUCG